GAGUUUGAUCAUGGCUCAGAUUGAACGCUGGCGGCAUGCCUUACACAUGCAAGUCGAACGGCAGCAUGAUCUAGCUUGCUAGAUUGAUGGCGAGUGGCGAACGGGUGAGUAAUACAUCGGAACGUGCCCUGUAGUGGGGGAUAACUAGUCGAAAGAUUAGCUAAUACCGCAUACGACCUGAGGGUGAAAGUGGGGGACCGCAAGGCCUCAUGCUAUAGGAGCGGCCGAUGUCUGAUUAGCUAGUUGGUGGGGUAAAGGCCCACCAAGGCGACGAUCAGUAGCUGGUCUGAGAGGACGAUCAGCCACACUGGGACUGAGACACGGCCCAGACUCCUACGGGAGGCAGCAGUGGGGAAUUUUGGACAAUGGGCGAAAGCCUGAUCCAGCAAUGCCGCGUGUGUGAAGAAGGCC
rnacentral:rRNA from 1 species